rnacentral:rRNA from 1 species
GACGAACGCUGGCGGCGUGCUUAACACAUGCAAGUCGAACGGAAAGGCCCUGCGUUUGUUUGUUUCUCGAUUGGCGAACGGGUGAGUGACACGUGAGUAACCUGCCCUUAACUUUGUGAUAACUUCAGGAAACUGGGGCUAAUACCGGAGAUGAUCUCCUGCUGCGUGUGGGUGGUUGGAAAGUGUCGGCGGUUGGGGAUGGACUCGCGGCUUAUCAGCUUGUUGGUGGGGUAGUGGCCUACCAAGGCUUUGACGGGUAGCCGGCCUGAGAGGGUGAACGGCCACAUUGGGACUACGAUACGGCGCAGACUGGUACGGGAGGCAGCAGUGGGGAAUCUUGCAGAAUGGGCGGAAGUCUGAUGUAGAAACGCCGCGUGCGGGAUGACGGCCUUCGGGUUGUAAACAGAUUUCGCAUGUGACGAAGAGUGAGUGACGGUAAUGGGUAAAGAAGCACCGGCUAACUACGUG